rnacentral:tRNA from 1 species
AUUAUUUUGGCAGAUUAGUGCAAUGGAUUUAGAAUCUAUUAAAUGUAUAUUUUAUACAAAUAAUA